ACUUUGUGAAAUAUUGCGAAAAUGCUAAAGCGCAAGCAUUGGCGCGGUGAUAAUUACAAAUUACAAUCGAAAAUGUCCAGUGAUUGCGUUAAAAUAAGUGGAUGAUAUUUUAUCCGAUGCGAUUCGACGAAAUAUAUAUAU
rnacentral:snoRNA from 1 species